rnacentral:rRNA from 1 species
GACGAACGCUGGCGGCGUGCUUAACACAUGCAAGUCGAACGGAAAGGCCCUGCUUUUGUGGGGUGCUCGAGUGGCGAACGGGUGAGUAACACGUGAGUAACCUGCCCUUGACUUUGGGAUAACUUCAGGAAACUGGAGCUAAUACCGGAUAGGAGCUCCUGCUGCAUGGUGGGGGUUGGAAAGUUUCGGCGGUUGGGGAUGGACUCGCGGCUUAUCAGCUUGUUGGUGGGGUAGUGGCUUACCAAGGCUUUGACGGGUAGCCGGCCUGAGAGGGUGACCGGCCACAAUGGGACUGAGAGACGGAGCAGACUCCAACGGGAGGCAGCAGUGGGGAAUAUUGCACAAUGGGCGGAAGCCUGAUGCAGCAACGCCGCGUGCGGGACGACGGCCUUCGGGUUGUAAACCGCUUUCGCCUGUGACGAAGCGUGAGUGACGGUAAUGGGUAAAGAAGCACCGGCUAACUACGUG